UACGUAGGGUGCGAGCGUUGUCCGGAAUUAUUGGGCGUAAAGAGCUCGUAGGCCGUGUGUCGCGUCGGCCGUGAAAACCUGCAGCUUAACUGUGGGCUUGCGGUCGAUACGGGCAUCACUGGAGUUCGGCAGGGGAGACUGGAAUUCCUGGUGUAGCGGUGAAAUGCGCAGAUAUCUGGAGGAACACCGGUGGCGAAGGCGGCAUCCUGGACCAAUUCUGACGCUGAGGAGCGAAAGCCAGGGGAGCAAACGGG
rnacentral:rRNA from 1 species